rnacentral:rRNA from 1 species
GAUGAACGCUGGCGGCGUGCCUAAUACAUGCAAGUCGAGCGGAAAGCCCUUCGGGGUACUCGAGCGGCGGACGGCUGAGGAACACGUGGGAACAUACCCCAGAGUGAGGAAUAACGCACCGAAAGGUGUGCUAAUACCGCAUAAUCUCUUUGGAGCAAAGCAGCAAUCCGCUUUGGGAAUGGCCUGCGUCCGAUUAGCUAGUUGGUAGGGUAAGAGCCUACCAAGGCGAUGAUCGGUAACUGGUCUGAGAGGACGACCAGUCACACUGGGACUGAGACACGGCCCAGACCCCUACGGGAGGCAGCAGUGGGGAAUCUUGGACAAUGGGGGCAACCCUGAUCCAGCGAUGCCGCGUGGGUGAAGAAGGCCUUCGGGUUGUAAAGCCCUUUAGGUUGGGACGAAGGUUGCGGGAGGAUAAUGCUCGUAACUUGACGGUACUAACAGAAUAAGCACCGGCAAACUCUGUGCCAGCCGCCGCCGUAA